GUGUGUGCCUGGGACAGGACUGGGGAGGGACCGGAGAAGGAAGGAGAAGGAGGGGUCAGAGAAGAGAGAAGGAACCUUACAGUACACAGUGAGGGUGCUGGGGGGCGAUCGGCCUGUGCCCAGCUGGUUGAUCGCCUGGCACCAAUAGGCUCCGGUUUGCUGGACCUUCACGGGAUCCAAUCUCAGCAUCUGAUCGUAAUGCUGGAGGUUUUGGUUAUUCUGGUCAAACCAGGUAUACCGGUAGAUGGGAGGGUUGGCGUCGCCCUCACAUGUCAGGACUACCUUCUUCCCUUCUAUCACUUUGUCCUUAGGGCUGAUGGACACACGCAGCCUCCUCGGCGCAUCUAUAAGGAGAAGCGAAAUCAGGAUCCAGGUAGGCGGCCCCCUCCCCUUCCUUCUGUCUGUCUCCAGCUCCAGCCACUCACACAGCACUUGGAGUAUCCUGCCCUCAGACGUGGUCUGUCCUAUGGAGUUGUUGACCAAGCAGUUGUAAUUGCCGGCGUCUUCUGGAGAAAUGGCGUCAAAGCUCAGUUCUUGUCCUUCCUUCAGAAAGAUUCCAUUUUUCUGCCAGAAGAAGCGGACGUCUCUGGGGCGGCUACUUGAGAAGUUACAUCUAAGGAGGACUCGGUGCCCGGAGUGAAUCUCGGAAGGGGUGCUGAUCUGCUGGACCCUGACAUCUCUUGGGGCAUCUGGAGAGCAAGGGCCGCAAGGGUCAGGCUGACCUCUUGGGUCCCUUUCCCUCUUGCCCCCAGGACUUCCUCUCCCCUGGGUCCUGAGGCCGGACUUCCAGCCCUCAGUUGUCUGUGAAGAUUCUGGCCCAGAUCCCAGUGCCCUCCCCCAGAGCCCGUACCGAAGUUGGGCCACUUCUCAUGCCCUCGCCUGGUCACUCACGCUGGACAUCCAGGUUGACAGAGGGAGCCCACGAACACCACUGGUUACAGGCUGCACAGGAGACUGGGCUGGCAUCCCAGCGAACUUUCUCAAUUAUCAGCACCUCGCGUAAUGGGUUUUUCCAGACGCCUUGGAAGUUCCAUUCAUACCGCGUAACUCUGGGAUUACUGGAAUUGUAGUUACAGGACAGGGUCACACUGUCUCCUUCUCGAAUUGGCGUGGGGUUUUGAAUCAUUGUGGUUACCUCCUUGGGGGGAUCUGGGAGAAAACCAGAGAGAUGGACGAGGGAAGGUCAGCUGUCCAUUACUACCUUUCCCGGCGCCUCCCUCUUUCCCACCUGUGCCCCGCGUUCAUCCAGUUCCCAAAUUAACCAAAGGAAGGCUUGUGCUUCCCUCUUGCAUCGGUGUGAGGACAGAAACCCUGGCCAUUUGGCCUGGUCCCGGUUUGAGGCAGGUUGGUGCGGCUGUUCAGAGCAGAGCCCCCGCAGAGAGCGCGUGGUGUGGGAGGCGGGGGUGCGUGGUUUCUGGGCCUCCGAGUGGCCUGCGGGCCUCGGACACAGAGCCGGUUCGCUGCAGCGCAGACACUCAUUGCGGGGAGAAAAAGGAAAAACCACAGCUCUGGAGCCAGAUCGGCAGAUCCUGUGACUUGGAGCUGAGUGAUGACGGGCCAUGGGACUCAGUUUAGUUAUCCGUCAGGGCACCUAACCUUGUAGGAUGGCUGCAGGACGAAAUGGGCUGGGGCAGCCCAAGCAGAGCAGGCACUCAAUAAACGUGGCCGCUGCCGCUGUGUCGCAAGCCGGCUGUCUAGAUAAUUCGCAAUUUGAGCGUCCCCAUCGGAGUAUCUGGCUCAGACUCUGACAUCCCAGAGUCCAAGGAUCAAACCUAUGGAUUCUCUCUGCCCUGGGCUCGCCUCACUGACAAGAUUCACUGCGUUAAACAGGGUCUGGCCUCUGAUGGAGAGGGCGUGAGCUAUUUUGCUUCCAAGCCCCCUCCUGGAGCACUGGGCACCACUAGAUGCCAAGUCUCUGUGUCCUUCAUGGGGCCCUGGCAUCUCGCUGUUCAUUCAUUCAACAAACAUCUACUGAGCACCUACCACAAGCCAGACCCUGUUCUGGUGCUGGGUGUACAACUGGGAACAACAGCAAGGCACCCACCCUAGGGGCUUGCAUGUUGAGAGACCCCAGCCUCCACGUGCUGUCCAUUCUAGGACCCAGGAAUCCCCUGUGCUCCAUCUCCCUUCCUCCUUUUCCCUCCAGAACCCAGAGGCCCUGUGACUACUCACACUGGACGUCUAACGUGGCUUCCUGGCCAACUUGUCCAGGACCAAGUCUGUUUUCUGCUGAGCAGGAGUAAUGCCCAGCAUGGCUGAGGAGGACUGCUGGGAUCUGGAAGGUCUUGCUUGUCCUUCCUGGCAUUGUUAUGUUAUUGUGAUGCCAGGUGUAAUUUGUUGGAGGAGGAUUGGCCAGUGACACACAAGUCAUCUCUACUUUAUCUCCCUCCUUAACUGGUGAAGAGAGGAUCUCCACCCUGGAAGGUUCCGGAGCAUCUGGAAAAAGCCGCAGAGGCAGAGGAAGGAGCUCCCAGGAGGCUCACGAUAUACUUGAAGGACCACUUCUUCCGACCAUCCUAAGCCUAUUUCAUUGGAGGCCUCACACCGGUACUUUCCACUCAUCUCCUUGGUCACACUGGGCAGAGUCAGCGUGAGUGUCUCCUGCUCCCUCAGUGGGAUCCUGUCCUUGAGCCAGGCUAUAUUCCGGUACCCGGGGUUGCUGCUGAGGACCUGGCACGUCAUGGUCACAGACUCUCCCUCUGUUACGUUGGCUCCUCUGGGACUGGCCUCAAUCUUCAACUUUGGGACAUCUAGAGGAGCAGAGGGGCAGGGCGGGAGGGGGAAGGGACCGCUCAGAGGAUGUAAUGUGGUGGGAAGUUGCAGGGCCUUGAUUCGGAUAAAGCAGCAGUUAAAUAUAGUGUGUGAGUUACCCUCGUCCACGGGGGGUGGGGGGCUGACUCCAUCGCCCAGGUAACUCUCACAGACUCCUAACUUGUCCCUGCUCUGUGCACCCCACCCCUUCACUGCCACCCUGCUCUCCAAAGUUCUAGUCUCCACCAGCCGCCAGCAACCUUCCUAAUACUGUCACUCGGACUUUGUCACUCCCCUGCUUGAAAACAUUCCGUGGAUUCCACACUCAGAAUACAAUCCCAAAUCCCGCUGCGGCCGUGAGAUCUGCCCUUGGCCCCUUGGCCCUUUUUUCCUCCCGCUGGGCCCCUUGCUCUGUUGCAGGCACACCGAGCUCCUACCUUGAGGCCUCUGUCUUGGCUCUUUCCUCUUCCUGGAAUCUUCUCACAAAGAAAUACCUGCGUGCCUCAGUGCUUCCCUUCACUCAGGUUCACCUUCCUCAGAGAAGCCUCCAUCCCUCCUUUCCUCCGCCCUUGCCCGGCUUUAUUCUCCCCUAAUACACUCAUCACUGUCCACGGUUCAGUUCUGUAUUUCUUUGUCCAUCUGUUCACUGUUUGUCUCCCCGACCUGCCACGUUAGCUCCAGGUGGGCAAGAAAUUUGCUCAACACAGCACCUUCCGCGGCCUUAACAAGACCUGGCACCUGGGAGGUGCCCAGGAAAUAUUUAUCAAAUGAAUGAAUGAGGCACAACGAUGUGAAAGCAUCUCUUCCCCUGCCCACUACCUCCCCUUCCCGUGUAACCACGUGAUUUCAAAUUCAUGUCAUGGCUUGAGGAUAUUGAAGUAUUUUAUUCCAUCAGACCAAAGCAGAUGCCAAGAUGAAUCCAUUCCCAGAAACACUGGCGCUCGGUAACGGGGUGAGGGGUGGAGGGUGCGCAGCCUUGGCUGGAACUUUCCCCGCUCUGGGUGCCCAUAGGCUGACGGUGUUUCCUUCUGUGUAGGUGCCUGACACCCUUGGUGCCCUCUGAGGGCCCUCGGAGAAGAGACAAGACCCUCGUCCUUCCCCCAGGGGGGCCCCAGGUGACACUCACGUUUUACAUCCAGCCCCACGGUUUCCUCAGAGAGUAUCUGCUUGUCUUCGUGGUCCCAGAGCUGGCAGGAAAGAUUCUUGCCAUGGAAGUAAGAAGCUGGAUUUCAUGUGAAAUAUUCCGCUUUCAUCAACAAACAAACAAACAAACAAACAAACAACAAACAUGGUGCUGGCCAGUCUAUGGGCCGGAGGCAGUCCAAGGCCCCCAGUUUGCAGCUGCUGCCCAUCUGUCUCUCUCUGAUCGUCAGCUGUAUGUGCAUCCUACAUCUCCCACCAUGGGGGCCAGAGGACAGUACAUUGCCCGGACUUCUUGAGCCAUGGAACCGAUUUUACAUUUCCCGUGAAAAACUUGGCAGGACUACAGGACUGAAUACUGAAAAAGCAAGCAACUGAAAAUGCCAAUGAGCACAGACCAAAAAAAUUCUGGCAAAAUUCUGCUCUUUGAGCUAAAGAAUGAAGAAAGGGGCAGCCCAGAAAGACAGAAAUCUUUCAUGCAGAAACUGCUCUACUCUGACGAACUAUCACAUAAAAAACCUGCUGCUUCACUUCCACCCCUGACAGCAAAGGCUGAGUGGGACCCUAGACUUCCAUCCUUGCCAGGCUGCUCCCCUAUACCACAUCUGAGUGGUACCAGAGGAGGCUGAGUGUGGGGCUGGGCCCUCCAGCCCCUCUGGGCUCUUCCUCCCCACAGUGUCAGUAGAAACCACAUGGGCAGUCUGAACACCCACCCCCACCCUGUGAUGAGAUAUUAGUCUCUUCACUGGAGUGGUGUAAGAGGAGGUCUAGGGGAAAGUCAGGACUUUCACCAUCACUCAGUAAUCAUAAGCCCAACUUCUGUGGAAUCUGCAUGAAAGCCAUGUGGAGAGCAGUGAUGGCAUACCCUUCCCUCUCCCAGUCAAGGUGUUAUUAAUGCAUGCAUAUGGGGAACCUCAUCUUCUACCCCUGCCCAGCAAUAAGAAAACUUCACACACACACACACACACACACACACACCAGGUGUCAAGAGAGGCUGUGUGGAGAACCUGAACUUCUACCCCCAUUUGGCAAUAAUGAGGCAGUGCCCCCAUUCAUUUCACUGGAGCAGUGUCAAGAGAGGCUUGUGAAAACAUCAAUUUAAAUAAGAUUCAGUCCCAUAAAUAAUACCCAAAAUGUCCUGGUUUCACUUGAAAAUCACUCAGCCUGCUAAGAACCAGGAAUUUCUCAAACUGAAUGCAAGAAGAUAAUCAACAGAUACACAUGCCAAGAUGACACAGAUGUUGGAAUUAUCUAACAAAAAUUUUAAAGCAGCCAUCAUAAAAAUGCUUCAGUGGGCAAUUUCAAACAUGCUUGAAACUUAUGAAAAAGAGAGUGUCAGCAAAGAAAUAGAAAAUAUAAAGAAGAAUCAAAAGGAACUUUUAGAACUAAAAAACACAAUAACUCAAAUAAAAACCCUAGUGAAUGGGCUCAACAACAGAAUGGAACAUGAAACAUUAGAAAUUACCCAAUUUGAACAGAACAGACUGAAAAAAAAUGAACAGAAACUCAAGGACAUGUAUGGCUAGUAUAACAAAAAAAUCUAACAUUCAUGUCAUUGGAGUCUCAGGAGAGGAGAAAGAGGGGUGAGCCUGAGAAAAUGUUUGAAGAAAUAAUGGCUGAAAUGUCCCUAAUUUGACAAAUCAAACAAAAACCAUAUUAUCUAAGGAUCCAAGAAGUUAAGGAAAUCCCAAACAAGGUAAACCCAAGGAAAUCUAUCCCAAGACACAUACUUAUAAAAGUAUGACUUAUCCCAAGUUAAACUUAUAAAAAUUAGACAAAGAAAAAAAUCUUGAAAGCAACCACAGAGAAAUGAUGAACUUCUCCCUACAGAGAGAAAACCCAUUCAAAUGACAGUCGAGUUUGUAUCAAAAACCAUUAAGGUGAUAAGGAAGUGAAACAGCAUCUCUUAGAUACUGAAAGAAGAGACCUAUCAACCCAGAAACCUAUAGCUAGUGAAAAUAUCCUUCAGGGAUGAAGGGGAAGUCAAAACAUUCUCAGGUGACGGAAAACUAACAGAAUGUUUAACCAACAGAGACUCUAAAGUAAUGGCUUGAGCAUUGAGAGGGGGAGGGGGGGGAGAGAGAGAGAGAGAGGGAGAGAGAGACAGACAGCGUGAACAGGGGAGGGGCAGAG